AACGAACGCUGGCGGCAGGCCUAACACAUGCAAGUCGAACGGACGUAGAAAUACGUUAGUGGCGCACGGGAGAGUAACGCGUGGGAACCUACCUUUUGGUUCGGGAUAACAUCGGGAAACUGGUGCUAAUACCGGAUAAGCCCUUCGGGGGAAAGCUUUAUUGCCGAAAGGUGGGCCAUCGUUGGAUUAGCUAGUUGGUGAGGUAAUGGCUCACCAAGGCAACGAUCCAUAGCUGGUCUGAGAGGAUGGUCAGCCUCACUGGGACUGAGACACGGCCCAGACUCCUACGGGAGGCAGGAGUGGGGAAUAUGGGACAAUGGGGGAAACCCUGAUCCAGCCAUGCCGCGUGAAUGAUGAAGGCCUUCGGGUUGUAAAGUUCUUUUGGUGGGGACGAUGAUGACGGUACCCACAGAAUAAGCUCCGGCUAACUUCGUGCCAGCCGCCGCGGUAA
rnacentral:rRNA from 1 species